UACGUAGGGGGCAAGCGUUGUCCGGAAUCAUUGGGCGUAAAGCGCGCGUAGGCGGCCAGAUAAGUCCGGUGUGAAAGUCACAGGCUCAACCUGUGAAUGCCGCUGGAAACUGUCUGGCUUGAGUCCGGAAGGGGCGAGUGGAAUUCCUGGUGUAGCGGUGAAAUGCGCAGAUAUCAGGAGGAACACCGAUGGCGAAGGCAGCUCGCUGGGACGGUACUGACGCUGAGGCGCGAAAGCGUGGGGAGCGAACAGG
rnacentral:rRNA from 1 species